GUUCCCAUUUUGGCCAGCACAGAUACUAAAAUUGGAAUGAUACAGAGAAGAUUAGCAUGGUUCCUGUACAAGGAUGACGUGCAGAGCCAUGCAGUGUUCCAGAUUUUU